AGCCAUGAAUUUCCCUCCCAAAGCAGCGAACUCCCGCUUAUUCACACAGUUCCUCAGCCUCUCUCGCCUUUGCCUCAAGCCCUAAUUUUCCUCAACAUGAAGCUCGUCAGGUUUUUGAUGAAGUUGAACAAUGAAACGGUGUCGAUUGAGCUCAAGAAUGGAACGGUUGUUCACGGCACCAUCACAGGCGUGGAUGUCAGUAUGAACACUCAUCUGAAAACAGUGAAACUUACACUGAAGGGGAAAAAUCCGGUGAGUUUGGAUCACCUUAGUGUGAGGGGUAACAAUAUUCGUUACUAUAUUCUGCCUGACAGCUUAAAUCUUGAGACCUUGCUGGUUGAAGAGACACCUAGGGUGAAACCCAAGAAACCAACAGCUGGGAAGCCUUUGGGACGUGGUCGGGGUCGUGGGCGUGGAAGGGGACGUGGUCGAGGCCGUUAACCCUGUUCCCUUGCUUCCAGGCUCUUGUUCUCGAGGUGAUUUUACGAAUAUUAAGGGAAUCGUAUGGCAUUUACCAUCGUGAAUGAAUCCUGAGAUUCCCAACAUCGGAUGCUAUGAUCUAAUGCUAAUUGGUGAGCAGGUAAUCUUUCUUUUCCCAUUUGUUGCCUUUAGAACGACAG